rfam:Picea glauca, whole genome shotgun sequence.
UUGAAGUAUGAAAGGUAUUUGGCUAUUUGGAGGGGGUUCCCUUAUUAUUUAAGGAGUUAUUGUGUAACUUAUCUAUAUUGGAGUUGUGCUCCACAUUGACAUUUUGUACAUCGUGUGUACUUCUAUUAUUUUUAUGAUAUUAUGAGUAUUUGGAUCAUAACAUUUGGUAUCAGAGCUCAAGGUCUUGGGGUUUCGUUGCACUCGAAGAACGAAAGUUGGGGGCUCGAAGAUGAUCAGAUACCAUCCUUAUCUCAACGAUAAAAUAUCUUGACCAGGGAUCGACGAAUGUUUCUCUAGGGACUCUGCCAUCACCUUUUGAUAAAUCAAAGUGUUUGGGUUCUG